rnacentral:lncRNA from 1 species
GCUAAUCCCCAUGUUGUCACAUCCAAUGGUGAAUUUUCCGUCUUUACAUAAAACACCUGAAAUACAAGUCAUCAUUUCUUGCUUGAGUUACUGCAAUAGCUUCCCUCCUUCCACUGUUGUCUUUUUUUUUUUUUUUUUUUUUUUUAGACAUCUCCUGCUUACCAUCCUACAAUGGUUGCCUUUCACAUUUAGAAGGAAAUCCAUAUUCCUUAUUUCGAAAAAGUCCCACACAAGUUUACCUUUCUGUCCCCUCUUCCCCAAAGCGUUGGGAUUACAGGCAUGCACCACCGAGCCCAGCCUGCAUUGUGUGAUAUUUUGAAAAACAUUUUAAUGACAACUCAGGGCAGUGGAGAUGUUUCAGCAAUACAGGAGCACCCAGAUUCAUAAAGCAAGUACUUAAAGACCUACAAAUGAGGAUGAUCAGAUAAGGAGAAUGGCUGACUUGACUUAGUAGGACUCUUGCUAAAAUUGGACAACCUGGAGAUUUUUGUAGUAAACCUAGAAAAUAGAAUACUGUUAAGAUGUAGGAUGGGUGAGGGGUAUAUGUCAUAAUUUUG